CAGGCAGGCUGGCUGGCUGGCUGGCCGUCGCCGGCUCCCCGCGCGCGCGGUUACUACACACGCGCGGAGAGCUCGUCCUGGCCGCCGCCAGAAAGAGGAGGCAAAAAGGGUCAUAUGCAUCACUUGAUAUCUAAUUACUCCACAAUUGAUGGAUUGCCACUGAAUUGUUCACAGUCCAUUGAAAGGCAUUAUGUUGAAGUAAGCAGAGGCGAUAAAGUGAGAUCUUGAUGCACUUCAACAUCAGGAAUGCUGCAUGAGCACUGAAGGACUUGGCCAAGGUGUGCCUUGGGGUGGAGGAGUUAUAGCUAGACUUCUCACUGCGGACAGUCAUGAAGGAAACAGGUGGCCAAGGAUGGGCAGUCCAAGAUUAGCUCAGCCUAUGCCAGGCUAACAGGUUGUUCACCCUGAAGAGCCACACCGGAGUCAGCGGCAUUACAGAACCAGGGCAUGGAGGCUGUGAGCUGCCCAGAUGACAAGACCCCACACCCAGCCUCACAGACAUGGUCUAAAGGAAAGCAGAGCGAUACGUUUGACACCAUCUUGGCUGCCAGAGUUGCCAAAAGGAUGCAAAUAAGGUGCAUCCAACCAUCUUAGGGACUCUCACUCUGUAGGACUACUUAAAUACAAAGCUUCUGGAGUUUUCUAUUGGCGGGGUCUUUAACCCUUUGUAAACACAAUGUUAUCUUUAUAGGAGCAGCAUGGACAUGAUACUGCAAGAAAUGAGGUUGUCUGUCGUUUCUUUGACAAACGAUGCAAGAAAAUGAAUAAACAACACUGAUGCAUCUUGGUUCAAUCCAGUGUUGACAGCCGACAUGCAUAACCAGUUGCGAUGACAUGCACGGUGUCAAGUUAUUGUUGCUGAGUUUCUAGGGCAGUUCACAGUUCCAAGAGGACAUCCUGCCCUUCUUUAUUUGGUUGCUGAACAAGACGAAGGAUGACAAUUCUGGAAACUCAAAGCGAAGAUUUUCGCAGGGAACUGCUGUUUCCUUAAUGGUCUGGGUAAUUAUUAUUCAACCUUCUCUCUCAAGGUAUCUGGAGAGAUCAGAGCUGCUGAUGCCAGAGGCAGCUAAGGAUAAUACUUCUCAGCGCUGGCCCUUCCGCAAGGAUAUGUCUAUGGAAAUAAUCCACCUUCCCUUCAGUGGGAUUGUUUGCCAUUAAAUAUACAUGCAAGGCCUUGCCUCUUCCUUGAUUAGACAAGGCAAUUUAACAUUAUGUUUUUCAUUGCAGAGACGCAAGCAUCAGCAUCUCAUCUGGCCCCGCAGUGCGAUCAAACAACUGAUGUAAAAAUCAAAAAUAAAAAUCAAGGACCUUGUCCAGGGUGGUGAGCCCAUCGUUUUUAAAAUGGCAGAUCUCAGGAAGUGAGCCGGAAACCAGAACAAUGCUGAUUGCUAGAAUCAUCGCUAAAUGAACAUAGAGGAAAGCAGGAUCAAACCCACAAGGUCAGUGAAGUUUAGGGGUACAGUGGUACCUUGGGUUAAGAACUUAAUUCAUUCUGGAGGUCUGUUCUUAACCUGAAACU